GGAUAACCUGAGGAAACUCAGGCUNAUACCGCAUACGUCCUACGNGAGAAAGGGGGNUCUCUUCC
rnacentral:rRNA from 1 species